rnacentral:lncRNA from 1 species
ACCCCACGCCCUUCAAGACUCGGUCCUGCCCGAGAGAAGGUUUCUUUGGCUGCCACUUUAAAUAUUAGCCUGAUAUUAUCAUCAAAACCCCAUUUCACUCUGACAAACACAAGCAUAAUUCCCACCAUCACCUAUAUCCACCGGCCCCUCCGUCUCCUCCCCAGCCCCUCCGUCUCCUCCCCAACCCCUCCGUCUCCUCCCCAGCCUCUCUGUCUCCUCCCCAGCCUCUCUGUCUCCUCCCCAGCCUCUCCGUCUCCUCCCCAGCCACCGACCCCUCCGUCUCCUCCCCAGCCUCUCCGUCUCCUCCCCAGCCUCUCCGUCUCCUCCCCAGCCUCUCCGUCUCCUCCCCAGCCUCUCCGUCUCCUCCCCAGCCUCUCCGUCUCCUCCCCAGCCUCUCCGUCUCCUCCCCAGCCUCUCCGUCUCCUCCCCAGCCUCUCUGUCUCCUCCCCAGCCUCUCUGUCUCCUCCCCAGCCUCUCUGUCUCCUCCCCAGCCUCUCCGUCUCCUCCCCAGCCUCUCCGUCUCCUCCCCAGCCACCGACCCCUCCGUCUCCUCCCCAGCCUCUCCGUCUCCUCCCCAGCCUCUCCGUCUCCUCCCCAGCCUCUCCGUCUCCUCCCCAGCCUCUCCGUCUCCUCCCCAGCCUCUCCGUCUCCUCUAUCCACCGGCCUCUCUGUCUCCUCCCCAGCCUCUCUGUCUCCUCCCCAGCCUCUCCGUCUCCUCCCCAGCCUCUCCGUCUCCUCUAUCCACCGGCCUCUCUGUCUCCUCCCCAGCCUCUCUGUCUCCUCCCCAGCCUCUCCGUCUCCUCCCCAGCCUCUCCGUCUCCUCCCCAGCCUCUCCGUCUCCUCCCCAGCCUCUCCGUCUCCUCCCCAGCCUCUCCGUCUCCUCCCCAGCCUCUCCGUCUCCUCCCCAGCCUCUCCGUCUCCUCCCCAGCCUCUCCGUCUCCUCCCCAGCCACCGACCCCUCCCCAGCCUCUCCGUCUCCUCCCCAGCCUCUCUGUCUCCUCCCCAGCCUCUCCGUCUCCUCCCCAGCCUCUCCGUCUCCUCUAUCCACCGGCCUCUCUGUCUCCUCCCCAGCCUCUCUGUCUCCUCCCCAGCCUCUCUGUCUCCUCCCCAGCCUCUCCGUCUCCUCCCCAGCCACCGACCCCUCCGUCUCCUCUCUAUCCACCAGAGAGAAGGAGUCUUAUGCCACCAUGCUCUGGUAGUAUUUCCUGA